CAGGAGUGAUAAGCGUGAACUAGAGAGUGCUGUGCAGGAGGAAGCUGGGGCCGCCGUCGGGCCUUCUCCCUCCAGGGGCCCAAGAGCCACUGGUACUCAGUGUCUGGGUGGGGGCAGGGGGGAUUUUUGUUCUCCCAGCACCUGCGGCUGUUGAGACCAGAGAAGCUGGUGGUCGACCACAGCCUGGGGUAUUAGUUCACCCCUAGCUUCUCCCCAGCGAGACCCCAGGGCCCUUGGGCACAGGGGAUUAAGCCUCUAUCUGCUUACGUGCAAGCGGAAGAAAUAGGCCCAGAGAGCAACAGUGGCGGGUCUGCAGUCACACAGCCAACUUGCGCUUGUGGCAGUGGCAAGGUUGGUGAGUAUCUGAGUCUUCAGGCCACGGCAUUUUCCGCUCGAGUGGAGCCUGAAGUUCUGAGGGUACCCCUCACUCAAGCUCCAGGCGUCAGGAAAAGAACAUUCCACGAAGUCCAUCUGGAAGACGGUCCUUUCCCUGCUGCCCCCAGAUACCAGGUGUUUCUGCCACUACCUUUGCCAGAUAUGUACCCUCUGACACCUGCUUCUCUUGUUGGUGGCUUUUGGACACAAGCCUGAUGCUGCUGCAGGUGGAUGCCAACUUGGGCUGGGGCCAUCUCCAAGGUGUCCUCCCUCUCACGGCCUGUGCCUGGGCUGGGAAGAUGUGAGCAGAGGUGAACUUUACAGCUUCUAGAACAUUCCCUGGAACACAGCAAGUGUUCAGUAUUGUUCAUGGAGUGACAGAUGUCUCAGCCAAGAAGGUACAAUCACAGGGAAGAAUGACUUCAACUGGUCUUGACUUCAACCUGCUUCCAGCCUGGUUCCCUUCUCCCACCUCCCUACAGCCCACAGAAGAUCUUUUCCAAACUGGAAGUCUGUCCAGGUCAUUCUUCUGCUCUAAGGCUUUCAGUAGCUCCCCCUUAUCCCCAGGAGGAAGUCCAAAUGCCUUAACAAGUGUCAAGGAACACUUGGUGAGCCCUGCUUUCCUUGCUAGUCACUCGUGCACAGCUGAGUCUUUCCCCAGAGUGGAUGUCAUUCAUGCUGUUCCCAUUGCCUGGAUUCCUGCUCCUCUCCACCCCAUUCAACUGAUAAACUCGUGGUUUUUUUUUUUUUUUUUUUUUUUUU
rnacentral:lncRNA from 1 species